CCUACGGGUGGCAGCAGUGAGGAAUAUUGGACAAUGGGCGAGAGCCUGAACCAGCCAAGUCGCGUGAAGGAUGAAGGAUCUAUGGUUUGUAAACUUCUUUUAUAUGGGAGUAAAGUGAGGAACUUGUUCCUUUUUGUAUGUACCAUAUGAAUAAGCGUCGGCUAACGCCGUGCCAGCAGCCGCGGUAAUACGGGGGAUGCGAGCGUUGUUCGGAUUUAUUGGGUGUAAAGGGUGCGUAGGUGGUUAAUUAAGUCAGCGGUGAAAGUUUGUGGCUCAACCAUAAAAUUGCCGUUGAGACUGGUUAACUUGAGUAUAGUUGAGGUAGGCAGAAUGCGUGGUGUAGCGGUGAAAUGCAUAGAUA
rnacentral:rRNA from 1 species